GACGAACGCUGGCGGCGUGCUUAACACAUGCAAGUCGAACGGUAAGGCCCUUCGGGGUACACGAGUGGCGAACGGGUGAGUAACACGUGGGUGAUCUGCCCUGCACUUCGGGAUAAGCCUGGGAAACUGGGUCUAAUACCGGAUAGGACUCCUGGCUUCAUGGAUGGGGGUGGAAAGCUUUUGCGGUGUGGGAUGGGCCCGCGGCCUAUCAGCUUGUUGGUGGGGUAAUGGCCUACCAAGGCGACGACGGGUAGCCGGACUGAGAGGGUGACCGGUCACACUGGGACUGAGAUACGGCCCAGACUCCUACGGGAGGCAGCAGUGGGGAAUAUUGCACAAUGGGCGCAAGCCUGAUGCAGCGACGCCGCGUGAGGGAUGACGGCCUUCGGGUUGUAAACCUCUUUCAGCUAUGACGAAGCGCAAGUGACGGUAGUAGCAGAAGAAGGACCGGCCAACUACGUGCCAGCAGCCGCAGUAA
rnacentral:rRNA from 1 species